rnacentral:rRNA from 1 species
GGUUAAGCGACUAAGCGUACACGGUGGAUGCCCUGGCAGUCAGAGGCGAUGAAGGACGUGCUAAUCUGCGAUAAGCGUCGGUAAGGUGAUAUGAACCGUUAUAACCGGCGAUUUCCGAAUGGGGAAACCCAGUGUGUUUCGACACACUAUCAUUAACUGAAUCCAUAGGUUAAUGAGGCGAACCGGGGAACUGAAACAUCUAAGUACCCCGAGGAAAAGAAAUCAACCGAGAUUCCCCAGUAGCGGCGAGCGAACGGGGAGCAGCCCAGAGCCUGAAUCAGUGUGUGUGUUAGUGGAAGCGUCUGGAAAGGCGCGCGAUACAGGGUGACAGCCCCGUACACAAAAAUGCACAUGCUGUGAGCUCGAUGAGUAGGGCGGGACACGUGGUAUCCUGUCUGAAUAUGGGGGACCAUCCUCCAAGGCUAAAUACUCCUGACUGACCGAUAGUGAACCAGUACCGUGAGGGAAAGGCGAAAAGAACCCCGGCGAGGGGAGUGAAAAAGAACCUGAAACCGUGUACGUACAAGCAGUGGGAGCACGCUUAGGCGUGUGACUGCGUACCUUUGUAUAAUGGGUCAGCGACUUAUAUUCUGUAGCAAGGUUAACCGAAUAGGGGAGCCGAAGGGAAACCGAGUCUUAACUGGGCGUUAAGUUGCAGGGUAUAGACCCGAAACCCGGUGAUCUAGCCAUGGGCAGGUUGAAGGUUGGGUAACACUAACUGGAGGACCGAACCGACUAAUGUUGAAAAAUUAGCGGAUGACUUGUGGCUGGGGGUGAAAGGCCAAUCAAACCGGGAGAUAGCUGGUUCUCCCCGAAAGCUAUUUAGGUAGCGCCUCGUGAAUUCAUCUCCGGGGGUAGAGCACUGUUUCGGCAAGGGGGUCAUCCCGACUUACCAACCCGAUGCAAACUGCGAAUACCGGAGAAUGUUAUCACGGGAGACACACGGCGGGUGCUAACGUCCGUCGUGAAGAGGGAAACAACCCAGACCGCCAGCUAAGGUCCCAAAGUCAUGGUUAAGUGGGAAACGAUGUGGGAAGGCCCAGACAGCCAGGAUGUUGGCUUAGAAGCAGCCAUCAUUUAAAGAAAGCGUAAUAGCUCACUGGUCGAGUCGGCCUGCGCGGAAGAUGUAACGGGGCUAAACCAUGCACCGAAGCUGCGGCAGCGACGCUGAUGCGUUGUUGGGUAGGGGAGCGUUCUGUAAGCCUGUGAAGGUGUGCUGUGAGGCAUGCUGGAGGUAUCAGAAGUGCGAAUGCUGACAUAAGUAACGAUAAAGCGGGUGAAAAGCCCGCUCGCCGGAAGACCAAGGGUUCCUGUCCAACGUUAAUCGGGGCAGGGUGAGUCGACCCCUAAGGCGAGGCCGAAAGGCGUAGUCGAUGGGAAACAGGUUAAUAUUCCUGUACUUGGUGUUACUGCGAAGGGGACGGAGAAGGCUAUGUUGGCCGGGCGACGGUUGUCCCGGUUUAAGCGUGUAGGCUGGUUUUCCAGGCAAAUCCGGAAAAUCAAGGCUGAGGCGUGAUGACGAGGCACUACGGUGCUGAAGCAACAAAUGCCCUGCUUCCAGUGAAAAGCCUCUAAGCAUCAGGUAACAUCAAAUCGUACCCCAAACCGACACAGGUGGUCAGGUAGAGAAUACCAAGGCGCUUGAGAGAACUCGGGUGAAGGAACUAGGCAAAAUGGUGCCGUAACUUCGGGAGAAGGCACGCUGAUAUGUAGGUGAAGUCCCUUGCGGAUGGAGCUGAAAUCAGUCGAAGAUACCAGCUGGCUGCAACUGUUUAUUAAAAACACAGCACUGUGCAAACACGAAAGUGGACGUAUACGGUGUGACGCCUGCCCGGUGCCGGAAGGUUAAUUGAUGGGGUCAGCGCAAGCGAAGCUCUUGAUCGAAGCCCCGGUAAACGGCGGCCGUAACUAUAACGGUCCUAAGGUAGCGAAAUUCCUUGUCGGGUAAGUUCCGACCUGCACGAAUGGCGUAAUGAUGGCCGGGCUGUCUCCACCCGAGACUCAGUGAAAUUGAACUCGCUGUGAAGAUGCAGUGUACCCGCGGCAAGACGGAAAGACCCCGUGAACCUUUACUAUAGCUUGACACUGAACAUUGAGCCUUGAUGUGUAGGAUAGGUGGGAGGCUUUGAAGUGUGGACGCCAGUCUGCAUGGAGCCGACCUUGAAAUACCACCCUUUAAUGUUUGAUGUUCUAACGUUGACCCGUAAUCCGGGUUGCGGACAGUGUCUGGUGGGUAGUUUGACUGGGGCGGUCUCCUCCUAAAGAGUAACGGAGGAGCACGAAGGUUGGCUAAUCCUGGUCGGACAUCAGGAGGUUAGUGCAAUGGCAUAAGCCAGCUUGACUGCGAGCGUGACGGCGCGAGCAGGUGCGAAAGCAGGUCAUAGUGAUCCGGUGGUUCUGAAUGGAAGGGCCAUCGCUCAACGGAUAAAAGGUACUCCGGGGAUAACAGGCUGAUACCGCCCAAGAGUUCAUAUCGACGGCGGUGUUUGGCACCUCGAUGUCGGCUCAUCACAUCCUGGGGCUGAAGUAGGUCCCAAGGGUAUGGCUGUUCGCCAUUUAAAGUGGUACGCGAGCUGGGUUUAGAACGUCGUGAGACAGUUCGGUCCCUAUCUGCCGUGGGCGCUGGAGAACUGAGGGGGCUGCUCCUAGUACGAGAGGACCGGAGUGGACGCAUCACUGGUGUUCGGGUUGUCAUGCCAAUGGCACUGCCCGGUAGCUAAAUGCGGAAGAGAUAAGUGCUGAAAGCAUCUAAGCACGAAACUUGCCCCGAGAUGAGUUCUCCCUGACUCCUUGAGAGUCCUGAAGGAACGUUGAAGACGACGACGUUGAUAGGCCGGGUGUGUAAGCGCAGCGAUGCGUUGAGCUAACCGGUACUAAUGAACCGUGAGGCUUAACCUU